AAAAAAGGUAAGCUACUAAGAGCGAAUGGUGGAUGCCUUGACUGGUAAAGGCGAUGAAGGACGUACUAGACUGCGAUAAGCUACGGGGAGCUGUCAAGAAGCUUUGAUCCGUAGAUUUCCGAAUGGGGCAACCCAAUGUAUAGAGAUAUACAUUACCUAUAUAGGAGCGAACGAGGGGAAUUGAAACAUCUUAGUACCCUCAGGAAAAGAAAUCAAUAGAGAUUGCGUCAGUAGCGGCGAGCGAAAGCGCAAGAGGGCAAACCCAGUGCUUGCACUGGGGGUUGUAGGACUGCAAUGUGCAAGAGGUGAGUUUAGCAGAACAUUCUGGAAAGUAUAGCCAUAGAGGGUGAUAGUCCCGUAUGCGAAAAACAAACCUUAGCUAGCAGUAUCCUGAGUAGGGCGGGACACGAGAAAUCCUGUCUGAAGCUGGGUCGACCACGAUCCAACCCUAAAUACUAAUACCAGAUCGAUAGUGCACAAGUACCGUGAGGGAAAGGUGAAAAGAACUGAGGUGAUCAGAGUGAAAUAGAACCUGAAACCAUUUGCUUACAAUCAUUCAGAGCCCUAUGUAGCAAUACAGGGUGAUGGACUGCCUUUUGCAUAAUGAGCCUGCGAGUUGUGGUGUCUGGCAAGGUUAAGCAAACGCGAAGCCGUAGCGAAAGCGAGUCUGAAUAGGGCGCUUAGUCAGAUGCUGCAGACCCGAAACGAAGUGAUCUAUCCAUGAGCAAGUUGAAGCUAGUGUAAGAACUAGUGGAGGACUGAACCCAUAGGCGUUGAAAAGCCCCGGGAUGACUUGUGGAUAGGGGUGAAAGGCCAAUCAAACUUCGUGAUAGCUGGUUCUCUCCGAAAUAUAUUUAGGUAUAGCGUUGUGUCGUAAUAUAAGGGGGUAGAGCACUGAAUGGGCUAGGGCAUACACCAAUGUACCAAACCCUAUCAAACUCCGAAUACCUUAUAUGUAAUCACAGCAGUCAGGCGGCGAGUGAUAAAAUCCGUCGUCAAGAGGGAAACAACCCAGACUACCAGCUAAGGUCCCUAAAUCUUACUUAAGUGGAAAACGAUGUGAAGUUACUUAAACAACCAGGAGGUUGGCUUAGAAGCAGCCAUCCUUUAAAGAAAGCGUAAUAGCUCACUGGUCUAGUGAUUUUGCGCGGAAAAUAUAACGGGGCUAAAGUAAGUACCGAAGCUGUAGACUUGCGCACAACUUAGAUUAUUUAAGUUUAGAAUAUGAGAAACUAAGUUAUAUGUUUAGUUAUAUUUUUACUGAUUUUUAUAGAGUAAAGAUAGAAAUAAAACUUAGUAAAAUCAGUAAAAAUAUUCUUAGACUAAAGUUAAGUAGUUUAAGUUGUGUGCAAGUGGUAGGAGAGCGUUCUAUUUGCGUCGAAGGUAUACCGGUAAGGAGUGCUGGAGCGAAUAGAAGUGAGCAUGCAGGCAUGAGUAGCGAUAAUUAAUGUGAGAAUCAUUAACGCCGUAAACCCAAGGUUUCCUACGCGAUGCUCGUCAUCGUAGGGUUAGUCGGGUCCUAAGUCGAGUCCGAAAGGGGUAGACGAUGGCAAAUUGGUUAAUAUUCCAAUACCAACAUUAGUGUGCGAUGGAAGGACGCUUAGGGCUAAGGGGGCUAGCGGAUGGAAGUGCUAGUCUAAGGUCGUAGGAGGUUAUACAGGCAAAUCCGUAUAACAAUACUCCGAGAACUGAAAGGCUUUUUGAAGUCUUCGGAUGGAUAGAAGAACCCCUGAUGCCGUCGAGCCAAGAAAAGUUUCUAAGUUUAGCUAAUGUUGCCCGUACCGUAAACCGACACAGGUGGGUGGGAUGAGUAUUCUAAGGCGCGUGGAAGAACUCUCUUUAAGGAACUCUGCAAAAUAGCACCGUAUCUUCGGUAUAAGGUGUGGUUCGCUUCGUAUUAGGAUUUACUCCGAAAGCGAAGAAACUUACAACAAAGAGUCCCUCCCGACUGUUUACCAAAAACACAGCACUCUGCUAACUCGUAAGAGGAUGUAUAGGGUGUGACGCCUGCCCGGUGCUCGAAGGUUAAUUGAUGGGGUUAGCAUUAGCGAAGCUCUUGAUCGAAGCCCGAGUAAACGGCGGCCGUAACUAUAACGGUCCUAAGGUAGCGAAAUUCCUUGUCGGUUA
rnacentral:rRNA from 1 species